rnacentral:rRNA from 1 species
UACGUAGGGUGCGAGCGUUGUCCGGAAUUAUUGGGCGUAAAGAGCUCGUAGGCGGUCUGUCGCGUCUGCUGUGAAAACUCGGGGCUUAACCCCGGGCUGCAGUGGGUACGGGCAGACUAGAGUGCGGUAGGGGAGACUGGAAUUCCUGGUGUAGCGGUGAAAUGCGCAGAUAUCAGGAGGAACACCGGUGGCGAAGGCGGGUCUCUGGGCCUUACCUGACGCUCAGGUGCGAAAGCGUGGGGAGCAAACAGG